GCCUUGAUAGCUCAGUUGGGAGAGCGUGAGACUGAAGAUCUUAAGGUCCCCGUUUCGAUCACGGGUCAAGGCA
rfam:Cryptosporidium muris RN66 scf_1106632353993 genomic scaffold, whole genome shotgun sequence.